GGGCCCGCACAAGCGGUGGAGCAUGUGGUUUAAUUCGAUGAUACGCGAGGAACCUUACCAGGGCUUAAAUGUACGUUGCAUGAUUUAGAGAUAGAUCUUUCUUCGGACUACGUACAAGGUGCUGCAUGGUUGUCGUCAGCUCGUGCCGUGAGGUGUCAGGUUAAGUCCUAUAACGAGCGCAACCCCUGUCGUUAGUUACCAGCAAGUAAUGUUGGGUACUCUAGCGAGACUGCCGGUGCAAACCGCGAGGAAGGUGGGGAUGACGUCAAAUCAUCACGGCCCUUACGUCCUGGGCCACACACGUGCUACAAUGGCCGGUACAGAGAGCAGCCACUACGCGAGUAGGAGCGAAUCUUCAAAACCGGUCUCAGUUCGGAUCGCAGUCUGCAACUCGACUGCGUGAAGCUGGAAUCGCUAGUAAUCGGAUAUC
rnacentral:rRNA from 1 species